GCCAAUGUGACAUAGUGGUUUGAGUGUUGGACUAUGACUCUGGAGAUCAGGGUUCAAUUCCCAGCUCAGCCA
rnacentral:tRNA from 1 species